UCUCCGUUGGUGAACCAGCGGAGGGAUCAUUACAGAGUUGUAAAACUCCCAAACCCAUGUGAACAUACCUGUUGCCUCGGUGGCCUACCCGGUAGCUACCCUGUAGCUACCCUGUAGUCCGCCGACGGAACUUAAAACUCUUGUUUUCAAUUGUCAUUUCUGAGAAUAAAACAAAUAAAUUAAAACUUUCAACAACGGAUCUCUUGGCUCUG
rnacentral:misc_RNA from 1 species